UACGAAGGGAGCUAGCGUUGUUCGGAAUCACUGGGCGUAAAGCGCACGUAGGCGGAUGUGUCAGUCAGGGGUGAAAUCCCGGAGCUCAACUUCGGAAUUGCCUUUGAUACAGCACGUCUUGAGUCCGGAAGAGGUGGGUGGAAUUCCUAGUGUAGAGGUGAAAUUCGUAGAUAUUAGGAAGAACACCGGUGGCGAAGGCGGCCCACUGGUCCGGUACUGACGCUGAGGUGCGAAAGCGUGGGGAGCAAACAGG
rnacentral:rRNA from 1 species